GUCGGCGGAGGUGGGCCGGGGCAGGAGCUCGGCCUCUGAUUGGAAAAGGGAUGCGGGGGCGGGGCGGUGGGCGUGGCCAACGGCCGGAGCCCGAGCCUUUGCUUAGUUUCCUCGAGUUGGAUCUGAGUUGUUUUCGUAGCUGACGAACCGGUUUAGGGGUACCCCCAUCCCCAAGGAAGAUCAGAACUGCUUUAAGGAUGCAGGACAACCCCCGAGGCCCAGGCUGUGGGGAACUGGACAUCCCUUUGCUUACCCCAGGACUGGUCACGGCCCAUGAUCAUCAGUCAAGCCAUAUCCAAGAGCGUGGAGGCUAUUUCUGCACGUGGUCGUCUUCUAGGAACUAGAAAGCCACCCUUCAGGAGUCCCCAUCACAGUGGGACAAUGGCCGGCUCCUCCUUUUGCAGCCUUUACUGAAGUGUUAGCUAGCUGGCAAAGGAUCUGCUAGUAGAACCUGGGGUUUUUGUCCCCUGUGCCACACACCCCUUUCCCCUCAAGAUAUCCAGUACUAUUCCUUCAGGGAGGAGAUUUGAGCUUUGUUCAGGCAGCAGGAGAAGACAUAGUCCUCACGGGUCACGCAAGUUUCCUUCAAAGGUCAAGGCUCACAGGAUUCCUUAGGGGAGAGGGCUGGGCGUGAUCAGGAACCCCACUGUAGGCUUGCAUGUCAGUGCAGAGGGCAGGUCCCUUCCCCUCAUAUUUCCCUGCUCUGUCCCAGAGCUCAGCUCAGACCCAAAGGCUCUUCCAUUUACCAUCAACGUGGAAACUUGGCUCUUCACAUGGGUGUAUUCUCCCUCUUUUGUGCAUUAUCUUGUUCCUCAAAACUGUCGUUUCAUGAAGGAGGCUUGUGGAGUCAAGGGCCCUGGCCAGACACCCAGAGGUGACUGAGCCCUUCAGACCUCAGGUUGGGUAGAGCAAUUUAAUAAAGGCUUUAUGUCCUUGA